rnacentral:misc_RNA from 1 species
UCCGGUUUGGCACCGGCAGUCUCCCUAGAGUUCCCGGCAUUACCCGCUGGCAACUAAGGACAGGGGUUGCGCUCGUUGCGCCACUUAAGGCAACACCUCACGGCACGAGCUGACGACAACCAUGCAGCACCUUGUAAGUUGUCUUGCGAAAGGACUGUUUCCGAUCCGGUCAACCUACAUUUAAGCCUUGGUAAGGUUCCUCGCGUAUCAUCGAAUUAAACCACAUGCUCCACCGCUUGUGCGGGCCCCCGUCAAUUCCUUUGAGUUUCAAACUUGCGUUCGUACUCCCCAGGCGGGGUGCUUAAUGCGUUAGCUUCGGCACGGACGGGGUCGAUAUCCGCCCACACCUAGCACCCAACGUUUACGGCUAGGACUAC